rnacentral:rRNA from 1 species
GAAUGGCUCAUUAAAACAGUUAUAGUUYAUUUGACAAUCGAAUUUACAUGGAUAACCGUGGUAAUUCUAGAGCUAAUACAUGCUGGUGUGCCCGACUUUUGCGGAAGGGCGGUAUUUAUUAGAUAACAAGCCAAUAUUCCUCUGGUCUAUUGUGGUGACUCGUAAUAACUGAUCGAAUCGCAAGGCCUAUGGCCGCGAUAAGUCAUUCAAGUUUCUGCCCCAUCAGCUUUCGAUGGUAGUGUAUUGGACUACCAUGGCGUUUACGGGUAACGGAGGAUUAGGGUUCGAUUCCGGAGAGGGAGCCUGAGAAACGGCUACCACAUCUAAGGAAGGCAGCAGGCGCGUAAAUUACCCAAUCCUGACUCAGGGAGGUAGUGACAAGAAAUAACGGACCGAGGCCUUCGGGCUUCGGGAUUGCAAUGAGCCGAAUUUACACCCCUUAGCGAGGAUCGAUUGGAGGGCAGGUCUGGUGCCAGCAGCCGCGGUAAUUCCAGCUCCAAUAGCGUAUAUUAUUAAAGUUGUUGUUAAAAAAAUCSUMGUUGGAUUUUUGGGAGGGUGGUGCCAAUGUCCGACGAC